GCGGAGCCGGCCUCGGAAAUAUGGCGACAGCUUCAGCUUUCAGUGUGAGGGAGCCGAGGGCCCAGCCAAACCCUGCGGGAGGCAAUUCCUGGGCCAGCAGGAGCAUAUCACUGUGACUUACAACCCUUCUCUAGUCUGCUACAAUGGAGUCUUAAACAAGAAAAUUUUAUAUUUUGACUUGCAUCAUUGAGAAAAACACUGCCAACCUGAUCGUGGUUCCUUUGAAGCUUAAAUCAAGAAGAAUUAGAAACCCUGAACAGAACAAUAACAAGCAGCAAGAUUGAAAUGGUAAUACAAAAGUUACCAAGGAAAAAAAAGUCCAGGACCAGAUGUAUUCACGGCUAAAUUCUAUCAGACAUUCAAAGAAUUGGUAACAAUCCAAUUGACACUAUUCCACAAGAUAGAGAAAGAGGGAAUCCUUCCUAAAUCAUUCUAUGAAGCCACUAUCACCCUAAUACCAAAACCAGGAAAGGACAUGACAAAAAAAAACUACAGACCAAUAUCCCUGAUGAACACAGAUGCAAAAAUUCUUAACAAAAUAGUAGCUAACUGAAUCCAACAGCAUAUCAAAAAGAUAAUCCAGCAUGAUCGAGUGGGUUGCAUGCCAGGGAUGCAGGGAUGGUUUAACAUACACAAGUCAAUAAAUGUGAUAUGCCACAUAAACAGAAUUAAAAACAAAAAUCACAUGAUCAUCUCAAUAGACGCAGAAGAAGCAUUUGACAAAAUCCAGCGUCCCUUUAUGAUUAAAACCUUCAGCAAAAUUGGCAUACCAGAGACAUACCUCAAUGUAAUAAAAGCCAUCUAUGACAAACUCACAGCCAACAUAAUACUGAAUGGGGAAAAGUGGAAAGCAUUCCCUCUGAGAACUGGAACAAGACAAGGAUGCCCACUGUCACCACUUCUAUUCAACAUAGUACUGGAAGUCCUAGCCAGAGCAAUCAGACAAGAGAAGGAAAUAAAGGGCAUCCAAAUUGGUAAAGAGUCAAACUGUCGCUGUUUGCUGAUGAUAUGAUCAUAUGCCUAGAAAACCCUAAAAACUCAUCCAGAAAGCUCCUAGAACUUAUAAAUAAAUUCAGCAAAGUUUUAAGAUACAAAAUUAAUGUAUACAAAUCAGUAGCUCUGCUAUACACCGGCAGCAACCAAACUGAGAAUCAAAUUAAGAACUCAACCCCUUUUACAAUAGCCACAAAACAAACAAACUUAGGAAUAUACCUAACCAAGGAGGUGAAAGACCUCUACAAGGAAAACUACAAAACACUGCUGAAAGAAAUCAUAGACACCACAAACAAAUGGAAACACAUCUCAUGCUCACAGAUGGGUAAAAUCAAUUAUUGUGAAAAUGACCAUUCUGCCAAAGGCAACCUACAAAUUCAAUGCAAUUCCCAUCAAAAUAUCAUCAUCAUUCUUCACAGAACUAGAAAAAAAAUCCUAAAAUUCAUAUGGAACCAAAUAAGAGCCCAAAUAGCCAAAGCAAGCCUAAGCAAAAAGAACAAAUCUGGAGGCAUCACAUUACUGAUUUCAAACUAUACUAUAAGGCUAUAGUCACCAAAACAGUACGGUACUGGUAUGAAAAUAGGCACAUCAACCAAUAGAACAGAAUAGAGAAUCCAGAAAUAAACCCAAAUACAUACAGCUAACUGAUCGUUGACAAAGCAAACAAAAACAUAAAAUGGGGAAAGGACACUCUUUUCAACAAAUGGUGCUGGGAUAAUUGGCUAGCCACAUGUAUGAGAAUGAAAUUGGAUCCCCAUCUCUCACCUUAUACAAAAAUCAACUCAAGAUGAAUGAAGGACUUAAAUCUAAGACCUGAAACUAUAAAAGUUCUAGCAGAUAACAUUGGACAAACACUCCUAGAGAUUGGUUUAGGCAAAUACUUCAUGACCAAGAACCCAAAAGCAAAUGCAACAAAAACAAAGAUGAAUAGCUCAGACUUACUAAAGAGCUUUUGCACAGCAAAAGGAAGAAUCAGCAGAGUAAACAUACAACCCACAAAGUGAGAGAAAAUCUUCAUAAUAAUACAUCUGACAAAGGGCUAAUAUCCAGAAUCUAUAAAGAACUCAAGCAAAUUAGCAGGAAAAAAUCAAACAGUCCCAUAAAAAAGUUGGCUUAAAAGAAGAUAUACAAAUGGCCAAAAAAUAUAUGAAAAACUGCUCAACAUCACCAAUGAUCAGAAAAAUGCAAAUCAAAACCACAGUGUGAUACCACCUUACUCCUGCAAGAAUAGCCAUAAUC